GGAUUGUGGCUAAGUGGUAGAGCGCUCGCCUAGCACGUGCAAGGCCCUGGGUUCGAUCCUCAGUACCA
rnacentral:tRNA from 1 species